ensembl:lncRNA
AUAGUGUCACCCCUUUGGUGGAACGCACCAUUAGGAGUGACUGAUCUAGAUCAGACUGAGCGACUUUCCAGUAUCGGCAGAAGAUGGUCGGUGAGGAUGCAUCAUCUUCAGUCCUGGAUUUGUUCCCUCGUUUCCUUGCUGUAUCUGGAUUGAUCGACCAGGAUUUCUCCAUGAUGUUUGGUGACGAAGUGUCUCAGAAGUUCCUGGCAAAGUGGUCAACAUUCUUCAAGCCAAAAAUCAUUGCAGACUGCAAGACUCUUAAGAAUAUGGGCUAGCUGCUGUCAGGAACUGAACCUGAAUCUGAGGACUACAAUGCCAACAGUGCAAAGCUGGCAUACCUGGCAGAUAUAUUUCAUCAUCUGAAUGAACCGAACACACGAUUGCAAGGCGGAAAUGAAAACCUGCUUACAAACAUGGAUAAAAUAAAUGGAUUCCAUUUAAAAGGUGCGCCUCUG